rnacentral:rRNA from 1 species
GUGGUGUAUGAAAUCUCCCGGCUUAACCGGGAAGGGUUAUGCCAGACUGGACUUCUAGAGUGCGAGAGAGGGACGUGGAAUUCCGGGUGUAGUGGUGAAAUGCGUAGAGAUCCGGAGGAACCCCAGAGGCGAAGGCGGCCUCCUGGCUCGCUGCUGACGCUCAGACACCACAGCAUGGGGAGCGAACGGGAUUAGAUACCCCGGUAGUCCAUGCCGUANACGAUGCGAACUAGGCGCUGUGGGACUCCGCCCCCGCGGGGCCCCACCUAACGCGUUAAGUUGGCCGCCCGGGGAGUACGGCCGCCAGGCUAAAACUCCAAGGAAUUGACGGGGGCCCCCCCCAGCCGCGGAACGUGGGGUUUAAUUCCAGGCUACCCCAAAAACCCUACCUGGGUCUGACCUGCCUGUGAACGACGGUGAAAGCCUGAGGUUCGCCAGACGCACGCACACGUGCUGCAUGGCUGUCGUCCGCUCGUGCCGGGAGGUGUAAGGUUAAGUCCUGUAACGAGCGCGACCCCCGGGUCCUGUU